CUGCGUGAUGAACUAGGUCUACGACGAACAACUCGUCUGAUCACCUCUGUUGAUGACCCUACAUACCUUUUGCUUCCUCACUGACUG
rnacentral:snoRNA from 1 species